UUGGCCUACGGGAGGCAGCAGUGGGGAAUAUUGCGCAAUGGGGGAAACCCUGACGCAGCAACGCCGCGUGAGCGAUGAAGGUUUUCGGAUUGUAAAGCUCUGUCUUUGGGGAAGAUAAUGACGGUACCCAAGGAGGAAGCCCCGGCUAACUACGUGCCAGCAGCCGCGGUAAUACGUAGGGGGCAAGCGUUGUUCGGAAUAACUGGGCGUAAAGGAUGCGUAGGCGGUUAAACAAGGUAUAUGUUAAA
rnacentral:rRNA from 1 species